rnacentral:rRNA from 1 species
CAGCAGCCGCGGUAAUACCGGCGGCCCGAGUGGCGGUCACUAUUAUUGGGCUUAAAGCGUCCGUAGCCGGGUUGGGAAGUCCUCCGGGAAAUCUGGCCGCUUAACGGUCAGAAUGCCGGAGGAUACUCCCAGCCUAGGGAGCGGGAGAGGCCGAGGGGAUUCCCGGGGUAGGGGUGAAAUCCUAUAAUCCCGGGAGGACCACCUGUGGCGAAGGCGCUCGGCUGGAACGCGGCCGACGGUGAGGGACGAAGGCCAGGGGAGCAAACCGGAUUAGAUACCCGGGUAGUCCUGGCUGUAAACGAUGCGGACUUUGUGUCGGACAAGCUAUGAGCUUGUCCGGUGCCGGAGGGAAACCGUUAAGUCCGCCGCCUGGGGAGUACGGCCGCAAGGCUGAAACUUAAAGGAAUUGGCGGG